GAAAGUAUGCUUAUCCUUUUUUCCCUACUCAACGAUGAAUGUUCCAUGUCAUUAGAACAACCUUGCGAAAUCAUAUUCAACAAACCCUUUUCUACCUAUCUUGUCUCUCAAAGUGUGAAUGUCUGCAACCUGAUUUGGUUAAACUCAUUGUUGUCUUUAUUUUGCAGUUGAAAAAGAAUUUGGAGUUUGUUGUUUGUUGUUUUUCUCUUUGGAUUUUGCUGUCAAAAUAUUAGGUUUGGUACCAAUUGCACUCUAAUAUGCCCAUUUGAUUCAAUUUCAUUUCUUUUGCUUAAGGUACUGUGAUGGAUUGAUUAAAUUAAAGCAGUAUCUUGAUCAAUUUACACAUAAAACAAUUUUAAGUUUAAUCUUCGCACAAAUUUCGUAUAAAAAAUUGGUAAUUAUCUAUCUCUUGUUGGUAACAGUUAUCAACUUAUCAUCAAAGCUAACUAAUGACAAUUUUCAUUUAAAAAUUAUGUAUGUUAUUUGAAAUGACUAAUGGUUAAUGCGAUUUCAGAUCACAAAUUCUAGCUGUUGCUGCUAGCUACUUAAUAGCAUUGUUGGGAUUAUUACCAGUCAAGACUUUGAGGUUUAUUGUCGGAAAAUCCCUUGGGAAGUCAUGGUCUGCCAAUGCAGUUGAGGCUGCAUGCUCUCACUUGUCACAAGUUAGCUUUACUGUUGAAAGAAGGGCUUCGAUGUUAGGUCACAAUAAGCAUAAACUGACCGGGGGAACUAUUGCUGAGACUAGGGCAGCAACCACCAACUGGGGACACCAGCCAAGUAAACAAGAAGCUGAGAAAAUGAUGAGAGAAUCCACCUUGGAUAGACUUUCUUCUUUAAUCAGAAAUCAUGAGAAGAAACUAGCUCUGGCAAAAGCAAGGUUCAAGAAGGCUGAGAAGGAUUUGGCGAAAAUAUAGGGUGAUUUGGAACCAGCAGACCUUCCAUCUUAUUUGGAGACAUUAACUAAUGAAGAGAGAUUUUUGUUUAGGAAGAUUGGUCUGAGUAUGAAGCCAUAUUUACUUCUAGGUUACAAGACCCAAAAGCUUGUUGACACGAAGACAAGCAUUGGCUCGGUCUAUUGAGCUUCAAAGACGAGAGGCACUGAAAUAUCAUAUCUCAUAUUUAUAGGAGAUGAUUGAGUUGCUCAAAUCUGAGCUACAUUUUGGACUAUGAUGUGCUUAACUUGGAAGUGCCAACACUUCCUAUUGUUGGAUCAUUGAUAAAAUCUGGAGUUAGAGCUCUAAUUUACAGGUCAACCGCGUCGACACUUACUAACAACUGGAUGGAGUACUUUGUGACUUCCAAAAGAUUAGUUGCUGGAGAUACUUUUGUGUUUCUGAGAGGAAACAAUGGAGAAUUACGCGUUGUAGUGAGGCA